UUAGGAUCCCAUUCUUGUGGUUGUCCAUGAUGUGGAGUUGCCUGGUCAUGUGUUCAUAUAUAAGGACAGGAAACUUGUGUCUGAUUCCUUCCGUCUUCCCUAUUCCCUCCCCCGCCCUUCCCAGCCUUCCUCUUUGUCUGAUCCAGGACUUCUGUUCUUCCCUCCCCACCUCUGUUGUUGUGGGUUGGCAUCAUGGAGUUGAUUGGUAGGGAGGUGGGUUUCCUUCUCUGAACUAGAUUUAUAGAGUCAGGCUCAUCAGGCUCACCCCGUCCUGGGCAGCUCUGCCAAGCCAGGGCUACCACUGUCACCACCAUGCUCCCACGAGGGGUCAGCAUGGAGGAGCCACACUGACUGUGCCCUCUGGCUGGCUUGCUGAGGGAGAUGGGAGAGGAUGAGCAGGUGGUGUGUGUCCAGAUCCACCCAGUCCCACAAACACAGGAGUCUGCCCUCUCCUCAGAGAGAGGAAAGCUCUCACCGGCAGAGUGCCCCGUGACUACCCCAUGAUGGAAACAGCAGGGGGCAGUGUUGCUCCUGCCCUUCUCCAGUUCAUGCCCAGGAAACUGUGUCCAGGACGCUGCCUGCAUGACCAGAGCUGGCAGGUGAAUCCGGGUACUCCCAGAAUGAUGACUAUUGCCGGGAUUCAUUUUCUGGAGGCUGAGAAUUCUCCCUGGAGUCCCUAAUAGUUCAGCCCUGCAGGCCAUUGCCCCACCUCAGGUGUGUCUGUCCUUUACCUUAUCAGGCUUAAAAACUGGGCUGCAAGGAGCCAGAGUUCAUGUCCUCAGCAAUCUAGUGAGAAGAAGUAAGCAUUCUUCCUUAGGGCACCAGAGAUAAGGAAAACAGGAAGCUCCAAAGACUACUCAGGAAGGACAUCUGCCAACAACAGACUGCAUGUCACCUGGUGACAUCUUAGCCAUCGUAGAUUGUGUAAGGACACUGUGAUGACAAAUCAUGUAAUGACACCUUUCAGAAGAUAUCCCCGUUAGGCAGUGUAGUAGCAACACCUGUAAUUCCAGUGACUCAGGAGGCUGAGGCAGAGGAUGGCCAGUGUGAGGCCAGCCUGGGCAACUUAGGCCCUAAGGAACUGAGUGAGACCCUGUCUCAAAAAAUAAAAAGGGCUGGGAUAUGGCUCAGUGGUUAAGUGCCCCUAGGUACAACUCCCAAUAAUGGGGGGAAAAAGAACGUAUCCCCAUCAUUAAGCAGUAAUUGUAAGAUUACACAAGUCACGCAAUGCA
rnacentral:lncRNA from 1 species